AAACCAUGGUGAGGGAAUCUCCUCAAAAUAUCCUUGAACCUUUCAUGCGCUUCGAAGAGUGUCUUUGAAUCACCUUGCCUGAAAGUAGAAAUAUCUUGUCUCAGUCU